UAACACCUUGAGAGGUUCUAAUCAUUCAUGCGUGGUGCCUAUCUCUAUACCUACUCUUUUGACUCUGGGUCCUCUCCCAUGGCAGUUUUGAUAAAGUACGGGGGUAUCAAAUGCCAUUCUGAGCCAAAAAAGCUUAUGCCUUAUUCUUGAAAUUUUGGUUCCAUGCAGGGGCACUUUUGUCAACACAAAAGUACAGCUAACACAAAC
rnacentral:lncRNA from 1 species